UGCAGUCGAGCGGUAGAGAGAAGCUUGCUUCUCUUGAGAGCGGCGGACGGGUGAGUAACGCGUAGGAAUCUACCUGGUAGUGGGGGACAACAUUCGGAAACGGAUGCUAAUACCGCAUACGCCCUACGGGGGAAAGGAGGGGAUCUUCGGACCUUUCGCUAUCAGAUGAGCCUGCGUAGGAUUAGCUAGUUGGUGGGGUAAAGGCCCACCAAGGCGACGAUCCUUAGCUGGUCUGAGAGGAUGACCAGCCACACUGGGACUGAGACACGGCCCAGACUCCUACGGGAGGCAGCAGUGGGGAAUAUUGGACAAUGGGGGCAACCCUGAUCCAGCCAUGCCGCGUGUGUGAAGAAGGCCUUCGGGUUGUAAAGCACUUUCAGUGGUGAGGAAAGGGUAACCGCUAAUACCGGUUAUCUGUGACGUUAGCCACAGAAGAAGCACCGGCUAAUUCCGUGCCAGCAGCCGCGGUAAUACGGAAGGUGCGAGCGUUAAUCGGAAUAACUGGGCGUAAAGCGCGCGUAGGUGGUUGAGUCAGUCAGAUGUGAAAGCCCCGGGCUUAACCUGGGAACUGCACCUGAUACUGCUUAACUAGAGUACGGUAGAGGGCAGUGGAAUUUCCUGUGUAGCGGUGAAAUGCGUAGAUAUAGGAAGGAACACCAGUGGCGAAGGCGACUGCCUGGACUGAUACUGACACUGAGGUGCGAAAGCGUGGGUAGCAAACAGGAUUAGAUACCCUGGUAGUCCACGCCGUAAACGAUGUCGACUAGCCGUUGGGAGACUUGUUCUCUUAGUGGCGCAGCUAACGCACUAAGUCGACCGCCUGGGGAGUACGGCCGCAAGGUUAAAACUCAAAUGAAUUGACGGGGGCCCGCACAAGCGGUGGAGCAUGUGGUUUAAUUCGACGCAACGCGAAGAACCUUACCUACUC
rnacentral:rRNA from 1 species